GGGCUCCUUGGGGUUCUUUGCUUUGCUGUUGGGCUAAGUCAAAUGUUUGUCGGGUUCCUGAAGAUGCGUCGAUGUGUUAUCAUCCACGCAAGCUUCCCCAACCCAGCCAGUGUACCACAAGACAACAGGCACUGAGGAGAACGGGAGAAGGGAGCGAGCGGCUGCAUGCACCAUUGAACAGGACGGCAUUGUAUUCCUCCCACAGGAGUGACUACAACGAAGCAAGCCCAGAAUAAAGUGUUGAUUGACCGUGAUGAAAGUCAAGCCAAGAGUCCCUGAAUGCUGCUAAGGAGACACACUGCUGCUGGAACACUGCACCACCAAGCCAAGUCAAGCCAAGCCACAACACAACAUAAGCCUUCUACAACACCUACAGGCAUCAGCAACACCCAGAGUACAAGACAACACCUGGAGCC